rnacentral:lncRNA from 1 species
GUCCUGACAGAGCAUCACUUUUUUUUACUGUAAACCACAUGAAUCCCAGGGUUCAGAGACUUAUUUAAAUGCCCAUGUGAUGGUCCCAGUUUUGAGGAAAAAAAUCAGAAAAAAAUUCUUUAUCAGACCAGGUUUCCAAAACCACCAUGUCACAUCCCUGCUGAAAUAGUUGGGAUAGUGAUAAUACCCUGAUGGCUUUAUAGCCUGGAUCUCAGAUAUAGGUUGAAUCAUAUUUACUAGCAUCAAAUCUGGAAUGUAACUCCAAAGAAGGACUCAAAAGGCCAGCAUGUUUACAUUUAUUAAAACUAAUAGAGAAGCUGAAAAUCAAAGUCAGUCUUCUGGUUUCUUGAAGGUAGUUAGAAAUAUUACUUCAUUGCAGAGGUCUUAAAAAUGACACCUUAAAAUAUUUCCUCUUUUGCUCUUUACAGGACCUGAAAUUUCACUCUCUCCAGCUCUUUCAGGCUUUAAAGAGUUCUAUGAAACUAAGAACUGCAGAUAGGAGUGAUAUUUUAAGUAACUCACCAGAUAUCAUGAAUGUGACUCCUGCCUUCUUUUCCUCAGUUGAUGCUCCAUCCACUUACCUUCACCAUGAAGAGCCUAAAUUUCCCAGGCCAUCUCUGCUGGCUGUGCUGCACUAUACCUAUCAAGAUUGGAUCAGUUUGUGAUUCUAUGCAGUUUAUCAAAUGAAAUCAUCAUCUGAAAAAGGGCACAGAGAACAUCCAAAUUUCCUUUGGAGAUGUCAUAAGAUUAUUUGAGACCUAUAGAAGAAGCAAAUGCUGUCAUCAUAUGCCUCAGUUACCUCUUCCUUCCAAUCCUGCAAGCCACUUUUCCUAUAGGCUCAUCCCCUGAGUCUCCAUUUGGAAGAAGGACCCUGACCAUUCCUCCUUAUCCAGACUUUACCCCCACCACCUUUUCAAUUGUUGUCUUCUCACAUUGAAAUAUAAUGUCUGUCUAAAUAAAUCUGCAACAAUGAAAGCCUGAGG